CUUAAUCAUCUAAGCACAAUUCAGAUGUUUUCAAUUAGUCUUUUCAGUUUACAUCAUGGAGGGAGAUGCUGAAUCAGAGUUUACCCAGCCUGCUCUUGCAUCAGGAUUACUGGCUGAGCUUGGUAAAAUUACAGAUCACUCCUAGUAGUUCUGAUCUAGGACCAUUUUGGAGGAAUCUAGAAGCUUUUCGGUUUUGGUGACAACACUGGUAACAUCCAACCUAGUAUCCAAUGACAUCAUAAAGGAAACUUAGAACUGAAUGAUAAUGAAAAUAUAGAGUCAAAAUCUGUAAUGUAAAAUUCAAGCAACAGGGCUACCAGCAUCUGUAGCAUCAGUGACAGCUGUAGUCACCUAUCUUUCCGCCCUUCGGGAGGCACCCUGACCGCCCUCGCCCCAGCACAGCUCUCUCCCUCCCUUAGGGAAGAGGCUCCUCACCUUCAUCGCCACAGAGCCGGAGAGAGAGCCCUGCUAUAGGGCAAUGCCGCCCAAGAUGAGUGGGAGCUGACAGGAGACUCAAACCUACAUCCCUGCCAAAGGCUGUGUGCUCUGAAGUUUAGGAGAAAAGAAAC
rnacentral:lncRNA from 1 species